rnacentral:tRNA from 1 species
GGGCACAGGUGCUAAGUUGGUAGAGCACGGCGCUUGCAAUGCCAAGAUCGUUGGUUCGAUUCCGACUGGGGCCA